rnacentral:lncRNA from 1 species
AAGUUCCCAGGCUAGGGGUCCAAUUAGACAUGUAGUCGCUGGCCUACACCACAGCCACAGCCACAGUCACAUGGCAUCUGAACCGCAUCUGUGACCUACACCACAGCCCAUGGCAACACCAGAUCCUUAACCCACUGAGCAAUGCCAGGGAUCAAACCCACAUCCUCGUGGAUGCUAGCCGGGCUCACUAACCACUGAUUCAUGACAGGAACUCCCAGCUGGUACCACUUUCUAGCAUUAUGAGCCAUAUUGGGCAUCUGCACAUGCUCAUGUUUUAUGUGUUCAGUGUUUAUUCAACAGCUUCUAUGUCUUGUCUAUCUAUCCACAACCCACUUCUGAUCUCAGGGAGAGGGAUGGAAAAUAUUUAACUCAGGCUGGAUUUCAAGUCCUGUGCAAUCACUAUUAAUAGAUGACAAAGGGCCAGCUCUAUUUUAAUUUGGCCCUAACCUAAGCGGUGGAGUUUUUACUAGCAUUCAGAAGUAGAUGUCAGUGUCUUUCUUGUUUCUGUUCUUUGGGUCCGAGCUGAAUGGGAGGUGCCCCCAGGCCAACUGCUUAUGUUUCCAAUGAGGAAACCAAGGUCUGGAAAGGGAACGUAUGAUGCGAAAGAUCAGGGGUAGAGUGAGACUAAAACUCUACCUUGACUCCCAACCCCCACUCCUCACUCUGGCCUUUAUCCCUAAAACUUUUAUGUAUGUUUCAAUCUUUGAUGAAAGGCAGGAAGGUUCAGGAGGCAAGCCUAAGACUUUUCCGACGAGAGGUAAGCACUCUCUCAUUCUGGGUUCUUUCUAUGUUUAGCACCAUUUGAUUUAGGGCCCUAACUUUCCAAGGUGUCCUUUGUACAAUGAAGAGGAAAAUGGUACACUCCGACUCCUUCCCGAGAGUGCUAGAAGAUUCAGAGUGGUAUUUGCACAGAACAGCCCUCUCUGAGGUGGACAAUGAAGGCUUGGAGACCUCCGUGCUGUUGGUUCUGACUUUCUUCUCCGUGGAAUUUCUCACAUCCACUAGGACUCGGUAACAUUUUGAAGAACUCUAAUAUCAGAAUGAGAAUUAACCAUUUCUCUACUACAGCGAUGAAAUCACUUUCCAUGGUUUUUAACCGAAGAUCAACAUACUCAGGUAAGACUGUGCACUAAUUUCUCUGAUUUCUCUAGAGAAGGCUCUGGCUUCUCUGUCCGAAAAUACAACUCAACAGCACUUCACAGAGAUUUCUACAACUUUGACCUGAAGUUUCCAGAAACGCCUUCAGUUCUGUUUUUGUAAGCUAAUGACUACUCUAGGGCAUUAAAAAUCUUCUCCCAGAAAGUCCAAAAAUAAUAGAAAGAAAGUGGAGGAGAGGAGUCAGAAAGCAGUGUGUGUGUGUAUGUGCGCGCGCGCAGGGGACUUUGCAAGAACUUGACUUCCUCCCCCAGCACCCAAACAGCAAUUUUUAGGACUGGUCAGUCAACCCAAAACACAAUCUGCUUUCACAAAUUUCCAAUCAACAUCCAAAUUGGGAGUUCCUCUGUGGCUCAGUAGGUUAAGGACCCAGCGUUGUCACUGCUGUGGUUUGGGUUGCUGCUGUGGCACAGGUUCAAUCCCUAGUCUGGGAACUUCCGCAUGCCACCAGUGCAGCCAAAAAGAAGAAAACAAAAUCCAAAAUACCAGUAGUUUUCUUUUGAAGUUUAAAAAAAAAAAAUUAGUUUGGGAGGAAGAAAGGAGGAAAUCCAAACAGUGGAGAAAGCCCAGGCACUGUGGCCUUCACUUUAGCUAGUGAAGCAGCGACAAUGGUGAGAAAUCAAUGCCCAGAACCACAAGGCAGCUUUCAGACACCUCUUGACCUUGUCACUUCCUGGGUAAUUAAGAGGCACUACAGUUCUGUGUCACUGUCAGAGCCUGAAUGUAUAUCGAUAGAUAGAUAUAUAUGUUCUUAAAAGAUUCUUUUUCUAUAGGCUUGGUCAGGAUCCUGCCAAAGAAAAGGGGGGAAAGAAAGGCAUUCUGUCCAGAGUGCAGUGAAAAGCAACAUGAAAGGAGAAAACUAAAUUUUUCAACACAGUCUGCUCCUGACGUGGGAAAAUGGCACAGACAAGAAUGGAGGGUUUGUUCAGUGUUUUUUGGUUUUUUUUUUCCCCUUCCUUCCCUUGACAGAUAUCUGUGUGUUGUAGGCGGCAGGGCACCCCUCUUACUCUGUUCUUCGUCAGAUAUCUUCAGAGCAAUAAUGCAAACCCCAAGGGCUGCUAGGCGGGCUGAAACCCCACUUUGCUUUCCGGGGCCCCUCAGGGAGCCACUCCCCUUCUUUGGACCUCACUUUCUUCAAAUGAGGGAAACUGGACUCAACUCUCUUUGGAGCCUUUUCUCGGGCUGACAUUCACUGAAGUCAUAAGAAACAGUUUCCAGCUCCUGAUCCUGCUGAGGAAACAGGAUCUUGGAAGAUCCUGGGAGAGUGGGAGGAUGCCUCCCCACCCAGUCCUGUCAAGCACCAGCUACAGAGGCUGCUCAAAGCCUAGGGAGCCCCAGGUGAGGACCCUGGGAGAAAGAGGUACUAGCCCCUGGAGAGGAAAGCUCUGAAGCACUUGGCCAACUCUGAUGGCUCCUCCUUGCAUCUGUGUUCUUGCCCAGUGAUUUCUGUCUGUGCCACCCACGUGUGCAGUCUGCUGUGCUAUUUUUUUUUUUUUGUCUUUUUGCCUUUUCUAGGGCUACUCCCGCGGCAUAUGGAGGUUCCCAGGCAUCUCCCAUGGAGACUGUGGAGCCAAAAAAGCCAUUCCCUGCUCUGAAGAGGACCAGUGGCAGAAAUGAACCAAGUACGGAAAUAAUUAUGAUCGAGGGCAUAAAGUGACUGGUGUAUUUUUGCGGGACACACACUUGGAGACCGCGGAGGAAGGAGGGCUGGAUUGUGGCUAAAAUUGGAGGGAGGGGAGGCAGAAGGGGAGAGCUGCAGGGAGAAAGUGGCAUCUGAGGAAUGAGGUAGCCGUGCUUGCACAGAAAGGAGACUGGGAUGACAGCAAAAAGCUGAGGCUACAAGACAGGAAGUGAGAGGAGGGGGAGGGAGCUUUCAGGGACUCACGACUGGUCUAGCCUUUUCUGCAGCAGUGCUUGCCAAUGAAGCUGGAAAGAAACUCCGCGCUGGCUGCAGCAGGGAUGAUCAGGGGUCUCUGGCCCCUGCGGCUCCUUGGAGCUCAGGUUUAAAAGCAUAAGGGACUGGGACAUGUCAUAUUCCUAGCUUCCAGGCUCACCUCUCCUGAAAUGGAUCCCCCCCCACUUCAAGCCCCACCCGUUGCACAAGGAGUGAGGGUGGACAGCUGAACAACCAGUGUGGCCUCCCGAGUGGCCGUGGGAAGGGGUGGCCUAUCUGCUCCCUCUCACUUGCUUCCGCCCACUGUGAAAUCCGCAUCAGCUGGAGGUCCCCAAGAGAUCCGUUUCCAUCUGUUCUGGGAAUGGCUGUUGGGAAAGCCUCAGGAUCAGAGAGCACAGCUCAGCCUAUAGGAGGUGUGACAGGGCAGCCUGGGGUGGGGGUUGGGAAGGAGCCCACUGCAAAGGCAUGUUCAGCCAGCCCCGGGAACAGCUGCCCGGCCAUGGGGCCACAAGGCUUCCAGCUUCCCAGCCGCUCUCAAAUCACCCAUUUUUGUAGCCCAGUUGCUAAUGAUGUAAUUAAGUUCAUCAGAAAGCCAUCUGUUCUGGUUUUCAUACAGUGGGCAUGCUCUGAGGGAAGCCGACCAGAGUCAGGGGACUUGAGCGACUAAAUGAGCAGGGCCCUUGAUGUCCCCAAGGGCCUGGCAACUCCCCCUCAACCCCAGACUUCAUCUGUCUUUAAUUAGACCGGGAAGCAUCCUCAGCCAAGACCCCAAGACAGACUUGCAAGUCCCAGGGCUCCCUA